CUCCCCAUAGUGAAGUGGUUUAUCACGCCUGGCUGUAAUGUUCAAAGCCUCCAGGAAUCCCUCGUUCGAUUCGCGGUGGGGAGA